rnacentral:rRNA from 1 species
AGGGUAAUGGCCUACCAAGGCUACGAUGGUUAGCUGGUCUGAGAGGAUGAUCAGCCACACUGGAACUGAAACACGGUCCAGACUCCUACGGGAGGCAGCAGUGAGGAAUUUUGCGCAAUGGGGGAAACCCUGACGCAGCAACGCCGCGUGAGUGAAGAAGGCUUUCGGGUCGUAAAGCUCUGUCAAGUGGGAAAAAAAUCUCAUGAUAAAUAGUCAUGAGACUUGAUGGUACCACUGGAGGAAGCACCGGCUAACUCCGUGCCAGCAGCCGCGGUAAUACGGAGGGUGCAAGCGUUGAUCGGAAUUAUUGGGCGUAAAGAGCGUGUAGGCGGUAUGGUAAGUCAGAUGUGAAAGCCCUGGGCUCAACCCAGGAAGUGCAUUUGAUACUGCCAUUCUUGAGUAUGGGAGAGGAGAGUGGAAUUCCUAGUGUAGAGGUGAAAUUCGUAGAUAUUAGGAGGAACACCCGUGGCGAAGGCGGCUCUCUGGACCAAUACUGACGCUGAGACGCGAAAGCGUGGGGAGCAAACAGGAUUAGAUACCCUGGUAGUCCACGCCGUAAACGAUGAGAACUAGGUGUAGCGGGUAUUGACCCCUGCUGUGCCGAAGUUAACGCAUUAAGUUCUCCGCCUGGGGAGUACGGCCGCAAGGCUAAAACUCAAAGGAAUUGACGGGGACCCGCACAAGCGGUGGAGCAUGUGGUUUAAUUCGACGCAACGCGAAGAACCUUACCUGGAUUUGACAUCCUCUGACAACCCUAGAAAUAGGGCCUUUCCGACUUGUCGGAACAGAGUGACAGGUGCUGCAUGGCUGUCGUCAGCUCGUGUCGUGAGAUGUUGGGUUAAGUCCCGCAACGAGCGCAACCCUUGUUUUUAGUUGCCAGUAUUAAGUUAGGCACUCUAAAGAUACUGCCUCGGUUAACGGGGAGGAAGGUGGGGAUGACGUCAAGUCCUCAUGGCCUUUAUAUCCAGGGCUACACACGUGCUACAAUGGACUGUACAAAGGGUCGCGACACCGCGAGGUGAAGCUAAUCUCAAAAAACAGUUCUCAGUUCGGAUUGGAGUCUGCAACUCGACUCCAUGAAGGUGGAAUCGCUAGUAAUCGUGGAUCAGCAUGCCACGGUGAAUACGUUCCCGGGUCUUGUACACACCGCCCGUCACACCACGAGAGUCGGCUGUACCAGAAGUUGCUGGGCUAACCCUUCGGGGAGGCAGGUACCUAAGGUACGGUCGGUAAUUGGGGUGAAGUCGUAACAAGGUAGCCGUAGGGGAACCUGUGGCUG